ACAAGGUUAUAAAAGCCUCACAUGCUGAUAAACGGGGCUCCUUAUUCUAUUGAGAUAGGGAGAUACACGUUCUUUUCCUCUCGCAAUGAUCAGGGACAAGCUGGCAGGAGGACUUCAUCUUUGAAUCUUCCUCUUUAAUUGGAUGGAUGUGUACAAGCAGCCUGUGACAGACACGUCGAAGGGGUCAAAAAGGGAUCGUCUAUCACUGAGAAGCAACUCUGAUGGAUUCUUGGACACUGUAGAAAGAGGGGCCGGCAAACCUGAUGAAGAUCUGUUGGUGACUGUGUUUGAGAAUGGAUGCCUUCUCCAGAAUGACUAUUUGGAGGAAAUCCAGAAGAAUGCUAGACUGCGGGAUGAAGCGGUGACACCUACCAUGCACAACCACAAAGAGGAGCUGCUGCACAAGCACAUCCUCAAUGGGAUUCAUUAGAUCAAUGUCCAAACCUCCACGAUGUGUACCAGUGUGCAGAUUGUUUUGUUUGUUUGUUUUUUAAUGCACCAAGACACAGAGAGCCACAUAUGGCGAAUGAAACACAAGUAUUAUCUCAUGCAGGCCACUGAGGACAUUUUUACUUAAACAACAUUUUUACAACUAUUCACUUUCUGUCUGAGCCAGCACCGUCAUGGGCUUGACGAUGACAACUGAAGCUCCGGGUCAGUCGCGUUUGUGAUUUUGUCCUUUUUUUUCCCCUUGAAGUUUGAAUUCACAGAUUUGUCCCUGUUUUGGAGGGGUGCAAUUGUUUCUCAACAUCUAUUCUCCUCCAAUUAUUUUUGAGCUCGUCUUAAUUUCUCUUAUCGUAUAGUUGCAUUUGAAACAUUG